GCUAUACUGCAAGUCGAGCGAACAGAUAAGGAGCUUGCUCCUUUGAAGUUAGCGGCGGACGGGUGAGUAACACGUGGGUAACCUACCUAUAAGACUGGGAUAACUUCGGGAAACCGGAGCUAAUACCGGAUAACAUUUAGAACCGCAUGGUUCUAAAGUGAAAGAUGGUUUUGCUAUCACUUAUAGAUGGACCCGCGCCGUAUUAGCUAGUUGGUAAGGUAACGGCUUACCAAGGCGACGAUACGUAGCCGACCUGAGAGGGUGAUCGGCCACACUGGAACUGAGACACGGUCCAGACUCCUACGGGAGGCAGCAGUAGGGAAUCUUCCGCAAUGGGCGAAAGCCUGACGGAGCAACGCCGCGUGAGUGAUGAAGGGUUUCGGCUCGUAAAACUCUGUUAUUAGGGAAGAACAAAUGUGUAAGUAACUGUGCACAUCUUGACGGUACCUAAUCAGAAAGCCACGGCUAACUACGUGCCAGCAGCCGCGGUAAUACGUAGGUGGCAAGCGUUAUCCGGAAUUAUUGGGCGUAAAGCGCGCGUAGGCGGUUUCUUAAGUCUGAUGUGAAAGCCCACGGCUCAACCGUGGAGGGUCAUUGGAAACUGGGAAACUUGAGUGCAGAAGAGGAAAGUGGAAUUCCAUGUGUAGCGGUGAAAUGCGCAGAGAUAUGGAGGAACACCAGUGGCGAAGGCGACUUUCUGGUCUGUAACUGACGCUGAUGUGCGAAAGCGUGGGGAUCAAACAGGAUUAGAUACCCUGGUAGUCCACGCCGUAAACGAUGAGUGCUAAGUGUUAGGGGGUUUCCGCCCCUUAGUGCUGCAGCUAACGCAUUAAGCACUCCGCCUGGGGAGUACGACCGCAAGGUUGAAACUCAAAGGAAUUGACGGGGACCCGCACAAGCGGUGGAGCAUGUGGUUUAAUUCGAAGCAACGCGAAGAACCUUACCAAAUCUUGACAUCCUUUGAAAACUCUAGAGAUAGAGCUUUCUCCUUCGGGGGACAAAGUGACAGGUGGUGCAUGGUUGUCGUCAGCUCGUGUCGUGAGAUGUUGGGUUAAGUCCCGCAACGAGCGCAACCCUUAAGCUUAGUUGCCAUCAUUAAGUUGGGCACUCUAGGUUGACUGCCGGUGACAACCCGGAAGAAAGGUGGGGAUGACGUCAAAUCAUCAUGCCCCUUAAGAU
rnacentral:rRNA from 1 species